UCGAAGCCCCAGUAAACGGCGGCCGUAACUAUAACGGUCCUAAGGUAGCGAAAUUCCUUGUCGGGUAAGUUCCGACCUGCACGAAUGGCAUAAUGAUGGCGGCGCUGUCUCCAGCAGAGGCUCAGUGAAAUCGAAAUCGCUGUGAAGAUGCAGUGUACCCGCGGCUAGACGGAAAGACCCCGUGAACCUUUACUGCAGCUUGACACUGAACUUUGACCUUACUUGUGUAGGAUAGGUGGGAGGCUUUGAAGCUGGAACGCUAGUUCCAGUGGAGCCGUCCUUGAAAUACCACCCUGGUAAUGUUGAGGUUCUAACUCUGUCCCGUGAUCCGGGACGAGGACCGUGUCUGGUGGGUAGUUUGACUGGGGCGGUCUCCUCCUAAAGAGUAACGGAGGAGUACGAAGGUGCGCUCAGCGUGGUCGGAAAUCACGCGUAGAGUAUAAAGGCAAAAGCGCGCUUAACUGCGAGACCCACAAGUCGAGCAGGUACGAAAGUAGGUCUUAGUGAUCCGGUGGUUCUGUAUGGAAGGGCCAUCGCUCAACGGAUAAAAGGUACUCUGGGGAUAACAGGCUGAUACCGCCCAAGAGUUCAUAUCGACGGCGGUGUUUGGCACCUCGAUGUCGGCUCAUCUCAUCCUGGGGCUGAAGCAGGUCCCAAGGGUAUGGCUGUUCGCCAUUUAAAGAGGUACGCGAGCUGGGUUUAGAACGUCGUGAGACAGUUCGGUCCCUAUCUACCGUGGGCGCUGGAAAUUUGAGAGGAUCUGCUCCUAGUACGAGAGGACCAGAGUGGACGAACCUCUGGUGUACCGGUUGUGACGCCAGUCGCAUCGCCGGGUAGCUAUGUUCGGAAGGGAUAACCGCUGAAAGCAUCUAAGCGGGAAGCCUACCUCAAGAUAAGAUUUCCCUAGGACUUUAUGUCCUCUAAAGAGCCGUUCGAGACUAGGACGUUGAUAGGUUGGAUGUGGAAGCAUAGUGAUAUGUGAAGCUGACCAAUACUAAUUGCUCGUGAGGCUUGACUAU
rnacentral:rRNA from 1 species